UCCAGGCUCUGUUUGAAUAUCUCCCUUUGUAAAAGUGGUGGAAUCCUCAUUGUGUGAGAAACACACUGAGUGAUGGAUGCUUACGGAAAGCUUUGUCAAGUUCAUUUCCGACUGGAGGUCAGGGAGCGUUUGAAUGACCACAGCAGGGAUGAGGGAUGCAUUAGUCAGGGUCUAGCUCCAGGCAAGAUGGAGCAGGCGCAGUUAGCUGGAAGACCUGGGAGCAGCUGUUUGAGAACUUGUGGAAGGAAAUACCACUGGCUGGGUUGGGGAAGAAGAUCAGAAUUGCGACUUUCAGCAAAUUGAUGGAAUUUUCCUUUUCUCAUGGCCUGACACCCAGACAUAAGCAUCAAGGUGCACAAAGAAAAUUCCAAGGGAAGCCCCCAGAUUCAGGUUCAAGGAGCAACAGAGGUGUCUUGCGAUUAGCAACAGGCAAAAGAGUCUAACCUAGAAAAGGGAGAGUCUUCCUCAUUAAUCAGAGGAGCUGUGGCCUCAAUAAAGUAUCUGUUCAUUGUUUAUGUCCUUCCACCCCUUGGCCUUAACGGUGGCCCAGUUUUGGGAAGGUCAGAGCAGAGAAGGAUAAAUAAACCCAAGGUUUUCGGGAAUGGAAGAGGGGAACCUCAGGGAACUGAAAAGUACUGAAAAGGCUGUGGAAAGAGAAGAACUUGGGAAGCAGCCCCAUGUGUUGUCUACCGAUUCCGAGGCUCGGCCUCCAAAUGCACAAGCAUGGACCAUACCUAUAGCAGCAGACGAAACAAUCAAAAACUCCGCUGAGACAGACUCUGCCUGGGUUCUAGUCUCAGUGUCACCCCCAUGUGACACCCAGAUCAUGUGAGGACUGCACAGACGUUGAAAGUGCCAUGGAUGUUCAAACCACAGCCUACAGAAGACCGGGUGUAACUCACUGCCCAGAUUACCCGCUAAAACGGCGUGGAAGGAAAUUUGGGGCUGCUGCCGCCUGGAUGCCAUGUCAGCAAAACAGAAACUUCAAUAACUUUCUUGUCCCUGUAAAUGUCCCACUUGAUCAGAAAGAGUACAUGCAGACAGUCCCCAAAUACCAAGCCAUCUCUGAGCGCUGUCCUUACUUUUGGGUUCCUUUUCUUUCUUUCUCUCUCUCUCUUUUUAAACCAGCCACACCUGCGACAUGUGGAAGUUCCUGGACCACAGGAUGAAGUGGAGCUGCAGCUGCAGGCCUGCACCACAGCCACAGCAACACUGGAUCUGAGGUGCAUCUGCGACCUACCCUGCUGCAUGCAGCAUCGCCAGAUCCUUAAAGUACUAAGCAAAGCCAGGGAUGGAACCCACACCCUCAUGGAAGCUACAUUGGGUUCUUAACCCUCUGAGCCACAACAGGAACUCCUGGUUCUCUGUUCUCUGUCCUGCAAACACUUCUGACCUUCCCCUUCAUUUUGCAAUGCUCCGAACAGUGACAUCUUCAUAGUGUUAAAUUAAGAUUUUGUGUGUGUGUGUCAUCUAAAUUGGGUUGCUUGCUCAUUCUUUAACAGCAGGAAAUGUCAACCUUCUCCAUAAGCUUUAAAUAAGACCACAAAGUCUUUGUUUAUUUAUGUAUUGCUUUUUAGGGCCGCACCCACGCCAUAUGGAAGUUCCCAGGCUAGGGGUUGAAUCAGAGCUACAGCUGCCGGCCUACACCACAGCCACAGCAAUGCAGGGUCUGAGCCUCAUCUGCAACCUACACCACAGCCCACAGCAACGCUGGAUCCCUGACCCACUGGGCAAGACCAGGGACCGAACCUGCAUCCUCAUGGAUACUACUCAGAUUCAUUGCCGCUGUGCCACAGGGGGAACUCCUCGACCACAAACUCUUAUAAUAGCCGAAGGACUCAGGGUACACCGAAAAUGACUCAGCCUAUGAAGAACCAAGAAAAUCUCAUCCACAUGGGAAAAGGCUUGAAGUAGAUGCAAGGCCAAGGUGACACAGAGGUUGGCGAUAAUCUGCCAAAGACUUUGCUUUAUUUUUAUGUUUUUGCUUUUUAAGGCUGCACCCACAGCAUAUGGAAGUUCCCAAGCUAGGGGGUAAAUUGAAUUGGAGCUUCAGCUGCCAGCCUACACCACAGCUACAGCAACGCGGGAUCCAAGCCGCAUCUGCAACUUACACCACAGCUCACGGCUGGGCCAGAUCCGUAACCCACUGAGCGAGGCCAGGGGUCAAACCCGGACACACAGAGCUUAAAAACGUGCCCCAUUCACAUCGGAUGUUGUUUGGAUCCUCAAAAAAUGCCAUGGGAAAGCAGCUGCAGACAGUUUUGAAUUUAUGUAGAUAUUUUAUUUCUUCGUUCCUGCUGGAAAAUGCCCCUUCCCCUCCUCGCCCCCUUUUUGUUUCUUUUGCUUUGUUUCUUUCUUGCCUUUGCUGGGUCCUGAGUAAGCUGUAAGCUGUUCCUAGGGAAAGCUAGGGCAAUGAUUCUGUUAGUGUGGCCCCAACUUCCAUGCCUUGAAUUUCCUCAAAGAAACAGUCAAGCCACUUCCGGACGUCUUUCAAUUCCAGGUGGCCACAGUCAAGGCCAUGGCGAGGUUGCAUAGUCAGCCGUGCCCAGCUGACUCCCUGAGGAGACAAGUUUUGGUCCGUCUAACCCAGCCUCUGAGAGCUGAGAAACCCUAGGGGGUCCCGAAGUGACACUGGUCUCCAAGGUGGUCCUGAAGACACAGAAGAUGACACAGGAACUCAGCUUUCUCCGCGUUUCAGUAUUUGAGGGGUGACAUUCAGAUGGGAUCCAGCAGGGAUGUGGGAGGAAGGCAGGGAUGUCUCAACGAUCUUCCAGGCUCAAAACAUGGUCCUGGAGCUCGUGGGUGCACGGAGCUGGAUAAGCAGUGGUGGAGCCUCGGCCAGCCCAGGCGGCCGAGACAUAGAAAACCAUAGAAAACCGCAGACGGGGGAGCUUCAUCAACAGACUGUUGCUGUCUCCCAGUUCUGGAGACUGGAAGGCUGAGAUCAAGGAGCCCCCAGGGUUGGUUCCAGGAGAGAGCUCCCUUCCCGACUUGUAUGUGUCUCUUCUUCUUCUUCUUCUUUUGGUCUUUUUAGGACAACACCCACAGCGUAUGGAGGUUCCCAGACUAGGGGUGCAAUUGGAGCUGUAACCGCCAGCCUACACCACAGCCACAGCAAGGGGGGAUCUGAGCCAUAUCUGUGACCUACACCACUGCUCACAGCAACACCAGAUCCUUAACCCACUGAGAAGGGCCAGGGAUGGAACCUGCAUCCUCAUGCAUGCUAGUUGGGUUGGUUACCGCUGAGCCACAGUGGGAGCUCCUGCAUGUGUCUCUUCUUGCUGUGUCCUCACUGGGCUUCUCUGUGCAUUUGGGGGGAGAGAGAGAGAGAGAGAGAGAGAGAGGGAGCGGGAAGAACCUCUGGGGUCUCCUUUUCUUUCUAUAAAGACACUGGCCUAUCAGAUUAAGACCCUAGCCUUAUGACCUUAUUAAAUCUUAAUUCUUUCC
rnacentral:lncRNA from 1 species